UCGCGACCCCAGGUCAGG
rnacentral:rRNA from 4 species